rnacentral:rRNA from 1 species
AGAGUUUGAUCCUGGCUCAGAACGAACGCUGGCGGCGUGGAUAAGACAUGCAAGUCGAGCGCUGAUUACGGGGUAGCAAUAUUCCGUGGUCGGAGCGGCGCAAGGGUGCGUAACACGUGGGUAAUCUGCCAUAAAGUUCGGGAUAACUUGCUGAAAGGCGAGCUAAUACCGGAUGUGACACUCGGGAGACAUCUCCUGAUUGUUAAAGCUGGGGAUCGUAAGACCUGGCGCUUUUUGAUGAACCCGCGGCCUAUCAGCUAGUUGGUGAGGUAACGGCCCACCAAGGCUAAGACGGGUAGCUGGUCUGAGAGGACGACCAGCCACACUGGAACUGAGACACGGUCCAGACACCUACGGGUGGCAGCAGUCGAGAAUUUUUCACAAUGGGCGCAAGCCUGAUGGAGCGACGCCGCGUGGGGGAUGAAUGGCUUCGGCCCGUAAACCCCUGUCAUUUGCGAUCAAACCUUAUUAUUUAAAAGAUGAUGAGCUGAUAGUAGCGAAAGAGGAAGGGACGGCUAACUCUGUGCCAGCAGCCGCGGUAAUACAGAGGUCCCGAGCGUUGUUCGGAUUCACUGGGCGUAAAGGGUGCGUAGGUGGUGAGGUAAGUCGGAUGUGAAAUCUCGGAGCUCAACUCCGAAACUGCAUUGGAAACUACCUCGCUCGAGGGUUGGAGGGGGGACUGGAAUACUUGGUGUAGCAGUGAAAUGCGUAGAUAUCAAGUGGAACACCAGUGGCGAAGGCGAGUCCCUGGACAACUCCUGACACUGAGGCACGAAAGCUAGGGGAGCAAACAGGAUUAGAUACCCUAGUAGUCC